rnacentral:rRNA from 1 species
CAGCCGCCGCGGUAAUACGUAGGGUGCAAGCGUUAAUCGGAAUUACUGGGCGUAAAGCGUGCGCAGGCGGUUUGUUAAGACAGAUGUGAAAUCCCCGGGCUCAACCUGGGAACUGCAUUUGUGACUGGCAAGCUAGAGUCUGGCAGAGGGGGGUGGAAUUCCGCGUGUAGCAGUGAAAUGCGUAGAUAUGCGGAGGAACACCGAUGGCGAAGGCAGCCCCCUGGGCCAACACUGACGCUCAUGCACGAAAGCGUGGGGAGCAAACAGGAUUAGAUACCCGCGUAGUCCCUGUCUCUUAUAC